rnacentral:rRNA from 1 species
UACGGAGGGUGCGAGCGUUGUCCGGAAUCAUUGGGCGUAAAGGGUGCGCAGGCGGCCGUGUGUGUCAGGUGUGAAAGCCCGGGGCUUAACCCCGGAAUUGCGCCUGAAACUACAUGGCUAGAGCAUUGGAGAGGGUAGCGGAAUUCACGGUGUAGCAGUGAAAUGCGCAGAUAUCGUGAGGAACACCAGAGGCGAAGGCGGCUACCUGGACAGAGUCUGACGCUGAGGCACGAAAGCUAGGGGAGCAAACAGG